AAUUGGUUUAGUUAAAAUAAGUUAUUAAUAGUUUUUGGGUUUAGUAAAAAUAAGUUGUGAUCUAAUUAAAACAUUUGUAGAGAGACAAGAUGGUUAGGAGUAUUGGAUAGAAAAAUAAUAGUUUAAAUUAUAGUUAAAUUGUACCGAGAGGGUGAUAUUGAGAUAAGAAGAUAUUAGUUUGGAAGAAGUAGGAUUUAGUUUCCGUACCUUGUGUAUCAGGGUUGAUUAAUUAAGGUUUAUUAACAUUUAAAUGUUCCCGAUUUAAAGAGAGCUAAUUCAAUUUGUUAGUUAAUGUGGCAAAAUUAUUAAUGAAAUUGAAUUAGAAAUUAAACGUUAUUCGUUCUUUAAGAUAUCUGGUUUCUUGAGAAAUAAAUUAAAUUUAUUUAUUCAAUAUUUUAUUACUAAAGUAAUUUACUCAAUAUAAUUGAAUAAAAAUAAGUUGGGGGAUGAGCUUUGGCUUGAAAUACUAGAAUUUAAAGUGUAAUAAUAUGGUAGAACUAUCUAGGUUUAGAAGUAUCCAUGAUUGGAAGAGUGUUAUAACUUGAGUGUAUUAGAGUUAAAAUUUUAUUUGAAUUUAGUUUUGUUAUUAAGAUAGAUUUUAAAUUAAGAAAGGGGUUGAAAUAAUGAUUAAAUUAGUAUAAAUAGAUAUAGUUAACAAGGAAGUAGAACAGUAAGGUUAGGGUAAGGAAUUAGGCAAAGAUUUUACUCGCCUGUUUAUCAAAAACAUGUCCUCUUGAAUUAAAUAAUUUGAGGUUUGGCCUGCCCACUGAGAAUUUAAAGGGCCGCGGUAUUUUGACCGUGCAAAGGUAGCAUAAUCAUUAGUCUUUUAAUUAAAGGCUGGAAUGAAUGGUCGGAUGAGGUAUAAGCUGUCUCACUGUAAUUGGGUUUAGAAUUUAUCCUUUAAGUGAAAAGACUUAAAUUAAUUUAAGGGACGAGAAGACCCUAUAGAUCUUGAUUUUUACCGGAUUCGAAGGUGUUUAGAAGUAGGUUUUAAUUGGAGUCAGGAAAAAAUUUUGUUGGGGUGACAGGAAGAUAAGUAAAACUCUUUUUAUUUUAAAAACACAGAUUCGUGAGUUUUUGAUCCUUUAAUAAAGAUUAUAAGACUAAGUUACCUUAGGGAUAACAGCGUAAUCUUUUUUGAGAGUUCUUAUCGACAAGAAGGGUUGCGACCUCGAUGUUGGAUUAAGGUAAAAUUUGGGUGUAGAUGUUCAAGUUUAAGGUCUGUUCGACCUUUAAAUCCUUACAUGAUCUGAGUUCAGACCGGCGUGAGCCAGGUCGGUUUCUAUCUUUAUAUAAAAUAAAUAUUUUAGUACGAAAGGACCAAAUAUUUGAAAGAUUUUUUGAAGGAAGGAUUGGACAUUAAAUUUU
rnacentral:rRNA from 1 species